UCGUCAGCUCGUGUCGUGAGAUGUUGGGUUAAGUCCCGCAACGAGCGCGACCCCUGUCCUUAUUUGCCAUCAUUAAGUUGGGAACUCUAAGGAGCCCGCCGGUGACAAACCGGAGGAAGGUGGGGAUGACCUCAAGUCAUCAUGGCCUUUAUGACCAGGGCUACACACGUGCUACAAUGCAAGUNACAGAGGGAAGCCAACCGGCGACGGGGAGCAAAUCCCAGAAAACUUGUCGUAGUCCGGAUUGGAGUCUGCAACUCGACUCCAUGAAGUCGGAAUCGCUAGUAAUCGCA
rnacentral:rRNA from 1 species